ACGUCAUCGCGUCGCCGGUGAAGCUGUCCAGCGCAUCAUUUCCGGACGAGCUCAAUACCUUUUAUGCCCGGUUUGACAAGGACAACACCACGCCCGUCAC